rnacentral:rRNA from 1 species
AAGAGUACGUGAAACUGCUUAGAGGUUAAACCCGAUGAACCUGAAUAUCCAUUAUGGAAAAUUCAUCACUAAUAAUAUGAUAUUUAUAAUAUUAUAUAAAUGGUGUGCAAUUUUUCCAUAUAAGGACAUUGUAAUCUGUUAAUGUAAUAAAUAUUUAUCAUAAGAUCCAUUACUUAAGUUUAUUCGAAUUAGUUAUUUUCGGAUUUCUAACAUAGGAUAAAUGUUUUGGAUUUGAUAAAUCAUUGACAGAUAUAAUUAUAUAAUGUGCUUAAAUUUUUCGGAAUUUUAUCAAUGGUAGAUGAAUCUAAUGAUUUGUUUAUUUAAUUGUAUGCACUAUUAUGAUUAACAAUGCGAUAGAUUCAGGAUACCUUCGGGACCCGUCUUGAAACACGGACCAAGGAGUCUAACAUAUGUGCAAGUCAUUGGGUAUUUUUAAUAAAACCCAAUGGCGUAAUUAACUUAACUGUUAUAUAAUGGGAUUAGUUUAUAUUUUGUUAUGAAAUAUUAAUUCAAUCCCGGGGCGUUCUAUAUAGUUAUGUAUAAUAGUAUUUAUAUUAUUUAUGCCUCUAACUCGAGCGUACCUUGAGCAUAUAUGCUGUGACCCGA